rnacentral:rRNA from 1 species
GACGGAGGGUGCUAGCGUUGUUCGGAUUUACUGGGCGUAAAGGGCGCGUAGGCGGUCAGCACAAGUCAGUUGUGAAAUCUCCGGGCUUAACUCGGAAAGGUCAACUGAUACUGUGCGACUAGAGUGCGGAAGGGGCAACUGGAAUUCUCGGUGUAGCGGUGAAAUGCGUAGAUAUCGAGAGGAACACCUGCGGCGAAGGCGGGUUGCUGGGCCGACACUGACGCUGAUGCGCGAAAGCCAGGGGAGCGAACGGG